UGUUUCUUAUCCUGGAUUUUCUGUAUAGUAUUGUAUUCACAAUUUUAAGAUCGGAUAGAUUUCCUACUCUUUCACCAUUCGUCUUCUCUUCUAUUUCCAAGUUUCUAAAAAGAAUUCAGUCUCUUUGUGGUCUUCGCUGCUCUUGAAGCUUCUUUAUUUGGUGAAUCUUUUUAUAAGUAAAUCCAUGUCAUAUUUAUGUUGACAAAAAUUAUUGAAUAUAAGUUAUCUUAGUGUUUAUAGUUGUUAACGUUUUGUUAUAUAUGGUCUUGCAGGUCUCUUCCCAUGCAUAUCACGAGGCUGCAGGACAUGGUCUUACUGCAGAUGGACAAUCUCCAACUCUGGCAGUGUUAUGCAUCAGAUAUUAGUCACUUACCAGGAAAGCGGAAAAAAAAAAACUUAAUGUUAUUGGGUCGUGAAUUGCAUCAACGGUGCAAUUUGAAUUUCUAUGGUGGUUGAGAGUUCAAUAGACAGGGAAGCUUCUGUUAUAGUGCAUAUCUUCUUAAUCUACCACUAUCUAAGGACUAUAUUUUUAAAAGAUUAAUGCAAGAUUUAAACUAUUAGUCUAUGAGGGGAGUUUUGGGUCGCAUUUCCUAACUCUUUUUUUUUGCGAUGUUGUUGUUCGGUACUUCUCUAUUGUUCUCAACUUCCGUUCAAAGGCAUGAUUGUGACGUCGUUGAAUGCUAGGCCUAAAUGGAAUGAGUGAGUAGUUCAUUAGACACAACCAUAGUUGUUCAUGGAAUGUCUAAAUUUCGUUACUCUUUUUUUGUGGGUGGUUUACUGCCUUUGUGACGAAAGUUGGUGGCUUCUUUUGUUUAUGACGAGCCACCCUUUUUUCUAAUACAUGUAAAUAGGCUAAAAGCUAUGGGCUAUAGGUUCUUACUAUAAUUAUAUCUUCCUUAGAGUUUGAUUGUAGGCUUCACAUUCAAUGUAUUGUAGUAACUGUUCAAGUAAAAAUAGUGACUAUUAUAGCAUUCUUGGUCUGAUAAUUAAGUUCUCGAAUUUGUUUUAUUGUUCAGUUGUGCAUAUGGGUUCCUGCUGAAAAGGUUGUUGAUUGAUCUCCUUGGAUUCCCACCAUCAAUGCUAGCAGCUGCAAUCUUUCCUGCACAAUGCACUAUUGCUGUGUCUAAGGAGUGGAAUAGAACCUGCGAGAAGCAUAGCAUCCAUGUUAAAGACCGGCUUUUUUAAGCAUAGUAUACUUUUGAGGAAUAUCAAUUUAUUGACAAAUUUUCACAGAGAUGUUUGAUUGUGUCCCUUCUUUUAGUAUAACAGGGAAUGCUCGAAAAUGAUGGUUUUAUUCAAUCAGUAGGCAGCAAUUGAGAAGCUUACUGGCACGCACUUAAAGUAAUUUCAUUAGCGAAAUUAACAAGAAGUCAAUGAACUGAUUGUUAAAGAUUCAUAUUGUUAGGCUUUGGGAAAAUAAUUUCGCUACUGAAAGUAAUUUCAUUAGCAAAAUUAACUAAAUCCGGAUCGUAACAAAGCUGAUAGUCCUUUUUCAAUUGUAGUUAUUCUGAUGGACGAAAAGGUUGUGUUUUUUACUUUAGACUUACUUCUAUUUUGCUUUGUUUACAUAUGCGUUAGUAUGUGGAAUAACUUAGUCUUAUUAACUAAUUAUUUUUUUAGGGUGACUCUAGCAUUGUGUUUAUAUUCUACUUUUUCUAUUUCGCAGAAGCUCUUUAAUUACUAAGCACAUUGAAAAAAGACCAAAAUGAUGUUAAGCUCUUGAAGAUUCAGGUAUUCUUCUCUUCCAAGAGCAGAGUCUGUUUGUCAUUGUAUAUAUGAGAGUACAAUCAAGAUUCUCUAUAAACUUAUAUCCACGAUGUGCUCUUUCAAGAUCACAUAUUUCAUUUAAAACUUGGGUAAUCAUGUCUUAUGGCUAGAUAUGAUGUUAGAAUGAUAUAUGAAUGACACUUACAACUCCAGUGAAGGAAGUUGAACUUGCUUGAUGUUUUGUGUGAUAUCUAUAUGCCAGUAUUUUGAUGUAAACAGAGAACUGGACUUUUAAUCUUUUUAAUGCCAUGGCACUUGCUAUAUCAACAAAGUGCAGUGUCACAUUUACAUUCCGUUCAUGAAACAAACAAGGAAUAAAGCAAAAACCAUUAUAGGUGCAUCAAAUCAAGUAAAUUAAAUUAGCUUUCUUUUGCUCAAAGCUUCAGAACACCCAACUAUUUAGCAAGGAAAUUUUACUGAAAUUUACAGAAUUAUACUAACAAUAGGGGGAACCAGAAGCCCAAGUUUUUCAUCAUGAAGAUUCAGCACAAUCAUCUUUAUGCUUUAGAUAAUAAGUGAAGCUGUUUUUUACUCUAAUUAUCUGGACAAGAUGCUAAUAUAUGUAUGAAAUUAUGAUUGUGCAAGUAGUAGUAACCUCUAAUAUGGAAUUCCCUUCACUGAGAAAAGUGAAACCAUAGUUUCAUUUAGAUGUAUGUAUUCAUUGUGAAUGGUCAUAGUAACUGUUCAAAGAACUAAUAAAACAAUGGUCAUAGUGACUUUUCAAAUUUAUAUUGUUUGUAAUUACCUUAUAUUAGGUGCUUAUCAGCUAAGUGUGCAUGCUUUAUCAUAGGAAGAGUUGUUCCAUCAAGUUGUAGAAGUUGGAAAACUGAUUGUUGAAAGCUUUAUUGGUAUGUGAUUAAAUUGAAAGUACUUUCGACAUGGCCGGCUAAAUAAAUCAAUUUCUGCUAUCUUUUAACCACAUUAUUUUCCUUAGUUGGUUUUUCCCCAUGGAGCACUUUUUAUAUCUGAAGUUUGUUAGAAAAUAGUUCCUAGGAAGAGAUUAAUGUUUCAGCCUAUUAACAGCUCAAGGUACAAUAACUUUGGUAGUAUUUAUUGUGCUUAACUGAGUUAUGAUGAGAGCUAAGUGUCUAAUUUGUUCUUUAAAUAUUAGUCUUGCACUUAUGUUAGAAUAGUGAUCGCCAAGUGUACGAUAAGGUUGCUAUAAAGUACAAUGGAAGGGAGGCAAACACUAAUUUUGAGCUAAGCAGAUAUGGAGAGGACAUAUGAAGGGGAAUUAAGUUCCAAGGCUGAUAAUGGAGCCAACUACUGAACUUGGGAAUUAACUGAUGACCAGCAUGUCACAUGCCAAAUGGGAAACUCUGAAUUCCGGCGUGCCUCGUGUGGUUUGCCUGAAUAUAGUGCUUAUAUGGCUUCUUUUGAAUUUUAUGAAAGUUUUCACUCUAAAGCUUAUUCGUUUCAAAGUCUGCGAAGUGUAAUAAUGGAAGAUAUCAAUGGAGUUAAAUGCGACAGCUCAACAAAAGAUAUACCAGUUCUCGGAUGACUAACUUUGAGUAUUAUUGGUUACAAAUGUAUUGUUGUGCUUAGUGGUUUAAUGACCGAUAAUAAGAUGAUGGCUUCUAAAAGGCUCCUGCCGAGAGAAGUAGAAAGUAAAAUAGAGGAUAUGUAGCAGAAGUUGUUGAAGAUGAUGAACAACUAUCCAACAGCAAGGCCAAGAAGGUGACUAAAAAGGAGAAAAAUCCCUGAAGAACUGCAUCUGUGAGAGUUUAAUAAAGAAAACAUAGUGAAAUGCAUGUUUACUUUCUAGCAACUAGAUUUAGGUAUGACAUUGAAGUAACUUUUAGUUUGUACUAUUAUUGAUGUCUUUAAGAAUCAUGACUGUAUUCAGUAGUUACUUGACUCUUUUUGUUAAGGAUUUUUUAAUACAACAUGUUAGUUUUUGGACGAAUCGAAUUUUGAAGGAAUAUGUUAGGUAAAGUUAAGAUAUUCGUUUCAAUUUAUGUUUCCAAGAUUUAAUGGCAUUAAUGUAUAUAUUCUGUUAUAGAUAUCUAACUCUUAUAAAAUCAAUAUUUUUAAUUAGGUAGCUGUAAUAAUUUGCUUGCCGUUGAAUAUAUUUUGUUGCUUAAGUCGGAUUUUGUUUGGUUGGACUAUUCUGCUGAGUUUAACUGUCUUAUAUAAUUUCUAUAUAUCAGUUACUGGACAGAGAAAUUAUAAACAUCACCUGUCGCAUCUGAAGAACUUUAAUUCAUUCGAUCUUUAUAGGAGAUACAUUUGAUAUUACGCAAGAAAAUUUUACAAAUCUUUACUAAUUUGAUGAUUUUGAUGUCUGUAUAUAUAGCUACCUGCAUCUGUUUAUGUGAACAUGAAUAGUAUAACUUAAUUCAUGCAUAAAAUUCCUUAGAGUCCUUGAACAUACUACAAUAUUCUAAUUUCUUCAUCAAAGGAUACAUUUUAUUUGCCAAAAAAGGAUUUUCAUUGAAUAAAUUUUUUAUCCUUUUUUUAUUAUUAAGGUUUAAAACUAAAAAGCUUCCUUUUUAGAAGUUAAACUA